rnacentral:rRNA from 1 species
GUAGGUGGCAAGCGUUGUCCGGAAUUAUUGGGCGUAAAGCGCGCGCAGGGCGGUCCUUUAAGUCUGAUGUGAAAGCCCACGGCUCAACCGUGGAGGGUCAUUGGAAACUGGGGGACUUGAGUACAGAAGAGGAAAGCGGAAUUCCAAGUGUAGCGGUGAAAUGCGUAGAGAUUCGGAGGAACACCAGUGGCGAAGGCGGCUUUCUGGUCUGUAACUGACGCUGAGGCGCGAAAGCGUGGGGAGCAAACAGGAUUAGAUACCCUGGUAGUCCACGCCGUAAACGAUGAGUGCUAAGUGUUAGGGGGUUUCCGCCCCUUAGUGCUGCAGCUAACGCAUUAAGCACUCCGCCUGGGGAGUACGGCCGCAAGGCUG